rnacentral:lncRNA from 1 species
AGAAGCCGAAAACAUACUCCUCACUCAUUGCAUGACUUCAAGGCAGACAUAAUAAAAAGGUGUAUAGAAGAGGUUGUUAAAGAGUUAAAUUUUAUAAUCUCGAUCAGCAUCUGGACCCAUCAUCAAAGUUGUUGCAGAUAAAAUGGGCAAGAAAUAAGGGAUAUCUUGGAGCGCUGGCCUGCAUUAUCAGAUGCAACACAGAUAAAUGAAGAACUCAAGAGGAUAACCACUGUAGGUCUUGAAUCCACAUUUAUAGCCAAACUUGACAAAUGCACCGCAAAACUAAUGGACCUGGCCUCAUCAAGGGGAGGAGCUAAAGGGGAAAGAAUCAGAAGGAUUAAGGAUAUGCUUCUUGAGAACAAUGCAGUUGAAGUAUGGAGAGAAGUAGCCAUUCACUGUCUUGUUGUCUAACUUGGAGAGAAAGAAGAGGAUCUUUUUAAGGAGUUUGCUGUGAGUAUUACAAUGUUUUAAAAUUAAAAUUAAAUCUUCCCUUGACAAAUACACAAGAAUCAUUGGUGAUCUGUCAACUAUGGAAUUAAACCACAAGACGGGAACCAUCAUUGUUGAGGGAAUCAGAAUCCUGAUUGGAAUGGAUAUCUCAAGGUGUUGUGCUCUGCUGAUAAUAUGUGCUCUGAAUCUGAGCUACCCCAAGGAGCUUAAAUAUACUUGUUAAGUGUUUCAUAAGCUGUUUCUUGAACUUGAUGGACUGAAGCCCAGUGCAAAAGUAAUGCCUCUCAAGAACAGCAUUUUCUGAAGCCUCUACUUAUUUCAAAGUACAUUUAGCUCUUUAUGUUGCAACUAUAUUGUUUUGUAUUUUGAAGUCCACAUGCUGAUCUUUUUAUUUCAUACUGUUUAUAUGAAUGGUGGCAUUUACAUAUGUUUGUUUAUAAUAAUACAAAUGUUACAUGUUUAACAAUUAAGGUUAGCUAAUAACAAGUAGUUUGUAAAAUGUACAAUUUAUAAGUUAAUAGUUAGCUUUAAGUGUAUCAAUGCCUAUAACUCUUGUUUUGUUGGAAUUCAUUGUGAUGGCAUAGCUAUGCAUGCAUGCACAUUUUUGAAGGCAAAGCUGACGGGUAAGUUUGUUUAUAAUUUGUGAGACAGUACACAUUUGUGUUUUGUAAACUUUGAGAAGUGCAAUAUUUAAAAUAAAACACUGAAAACUGUGUUUCUAAAUAAAUAAAAAGUUACUGAAAUUAAAA